CAGCAGCCGCGGGAAUACGUAGGUGGCAAGCGUUGUCCGGAAUUAUUGGGCGUAAAGGGCUCGCAGGCGGUUUCUUAAGUCUGAUGUGAAAGCCCCCGGCUCAACCGGGGAGGGUCAUUGGAAACUGGGAAACUUGAGUGCAGAAGAGGAGAGUGGAAUUCCACGUGUAGCGGUGAAAUGCGUAGAGAUGUGGAGGAACACCAGUGGCGAAGGCGACUCCCUGGUCUGUAACUGACGCUGAGGAGCGAAAGCGUGGGGAGCGAACAGGAUUAGAUACCCCCGUAGUCCCUGUCUCUUAUAC
rnacentral:rRNA from 1 species